AAUGGAUCCUCUCAGCUGAGAUUCUGAUUUUAACAUAACCCCUACUUUAUGCUACUGCUUUGGAGCUACAGCUCCUAACUCAAUACCAGAAACUCUCUCAGCAAACUUCAAGCUGCUACUUGCAAAGCAAGGCCUGUAGAAAUUAAGAAAUGAAGAACGAUGAUUUUACCAAGGGAAGAUUGCAGAAGUUGAGUAAGCUUGCUAUUUCUGUAUGGCACAUGAGCAUUCUUUUGAGCAAGAGCAAAGAUGACAUCUCCAAGAGC